rnacentral:lncRNA from 1 species
CUAUUAACAAAAUGAAAAAAAUACUAAUCAUCGGUCACUUUUCAUAUUCUACGAUCUUCUUUCAUCUCAUAACAUCAUCCAUGUUUAACACUUAGUCUUUUAUUUUAGAAAAGCCUCAAGCUUCUACGACCAUAUAGAGUAACAAUGUCAAGGCUAGAAGAAGAAGAUUCAUGCCACAAUGUUUCAUGUCUAAGUCUAACCACAGAACUAUCAAUCAAUUAACUUUGACUUUAAGAUGCCCUAAUGAAAAUCAUGUAGUUACAUCCAAAUUAGCCAAAAAAAAUUACAACAUUUUCAUUUUCAGCUACCAAUAAAAUCUUUCUUAGCUAAAUCAAGUCUUCCAUUAUGAUAACCUUUGAAUCAAAAAAUAAUGUUUCUAAUUAGUUUGAAUCACCACACUGUCACUGC